UUCACCGCUAGCAAGACGACGACAAUGUGAAAAGGAUUUCUGCAGCACUACUGAUGUUGUGAGAGAAAUUUAGGUCUUUUACUCAUUUGUAGUGUUUAGGUAGUUUUUUUCCAACUUUUUUUAACGGGCUAGCGGACCAACCCCGCCCCAUUAUGUAUUCCGCCCGCGAAUAUUUUUGUUUUGGAGGGGCGGGAGAAAC
rnacentral:lncRNA from 1 species